ensembl:lncRNA
AAGGGUAGAUGUUGGCUGAACAGAGAGCCCUGUCUCCCCAGGGCCACGGCACCAGAAGUCUGUGCCCCGGGUCCCCGACCCUGUGACCCCUGCUCGCUGGGAAACCCUGCCUUCCCGGGCGGCCGACCGCCUCUGGUCCUUCCACGUGAUUUACAUUCCUGACGCGAUUCCAAAGUCUUCAGGGUAGAAAUGCACAGAAGCCAUCUACACGGCAGCCACAGCCAAAACGGAUUAAAGCAGAACACGUGUGCUCAGCCAGGCAUUGACACCUUUCAGAGUCUCCCGUGGGAUUCCGAGGUGUGACGGGUGUGGGAGAACCAGGAAGGAUUCAAGUCCGUGCGUCUUCUUCUCUGACGGCCCCGUCGGCGUGCCUCCAACGCAUACGGAUGUGUCGACACGGAUGUCCCCGUGAAGAAAGAAACAGAGAUCAACAAUGCGUGACAGCACGUCGAAAACCAUGCAGUGAAAACAGUAAAUGUGGCCGGCAGAGAACGAGAGCCAUUAAUACUACUCUGCAGAUGUUCUGUCCAAACUCCCCCUUCGCGUUGUGUGGUGCAACCUUCGACACAGGAGGGGCUGCAUGGAGCCACGGGGACGUCAGGACACAAGCGCUGACCUCACCUUUCAGGAGCCGCCGUGGUCACAGACCCGCCCAGCUGCUCAGAUGUGCACACCUGUCAAAUGUGGUCCCUACAACAGCUUCCACACCAAACACAGCUCGUUCGAGACGAAACAAGAAAUGGGACCCACGUGAUGGGCGCACGUUUACAACAUUAGUGUCAGAUAACCUGCGACAUAACUGUUGAAGGCGCCUUUCUGGUCUCAGACUAUUUAGUGAGCUCUGAGUUUUAAAGAAAUGGAAUAUUGUGGGUAAACGGUGUGACGUGGCUGAACACGAGCUCACGAGCGUCCUCACAGUUUUAUCGUGCUCUCCCGUUUUACAACGUGGUCCAGAGAAAGAACCACGCACUCCUAUGAAUGGGACAGAGACGAUCCACAGACCGAAAGCCUCGCGGAGCGUGAGGCUGCGCGUCUGUUCUGUGCGUGGUGAGCGUGGGCAUGGACCGGAGUCCCGGGACCCUGCUUCUGAGGCUGGAAUCCACCAGGCACUGGCUCGCGGACCUGGCGGAGUCGCCUGGGCUCUGACGUCCUCAUUAACUCAUUUGCUGCCGUCAUCCCUCCUUCAAAGCUUCGUUGAGGAUAAAGUGUGUUCGCAGAAGUCAAGGACACUGUGACCUAGCACAGAAGGCAGGUUCAGUCUCACAGAUGGAGGCGAAAGCCGAGGCCCUCCCGUGGCCUCCAGAUGCCACCGCCGUCAGCCGGCCAGCCGCCUCUCCCCUCCCACGUCCCUCCAGCCACGCCGGCCACCUCCUUGCUGUUCCUUUGACUCCUGCCUCCGGGACUUUGCACCUGCUGUUUCCUCCACGUGGAGAGCUCCAGCCCCACAUUUCUGCCUGGUUUGCCGCCCCUGUCCUUUACAUUUCGGAUCAAAUGUCACCUGUACGGAGAGAAUGUCUUUGUGGCACCCCGGUGUCCCCACUGUCCCCUACUCCCCAUGUCUUAUACCUAUUUUCCUCCUGAGGGACCUGGGCUGGGCUCUGUGUAAGUAAUAGUCUCAUGCGUGGUUUCUAGCACGCCCAGCACUGAGUCAAAUGGGAAUUCUAUCCAGCCUGUGUUAUUCCCACAGUAUAUUUUCCAUAAACUUGGCCUGAGCUUUAAACCUCUGCGGGCCAUUAUAAUAAUUAUUUUCAUGUUCUUGCCUACAGGACCCCGACAAAGCCCAGACAUGCGUUUGGAAACCUGGGG